rnacentral:lncRNA from 1 species
GCGUUUGCUUAAAAUAUUUAAAAUUGAUACUACCCAAGACAAGGUGGUCAUUUUAAGCAAAUAUCGUGCAAAGUAUCAACAUAAAACGUUUAUAACGAUGAAAGAGUCAGUAUCCACAAGAACAUUUUUGAGAGAAAACUUGUUGUCUGUUGUAGUAAGUGUUCUUGUGAUUGUUGGAAUCACUUCCUUUUUUGUAAUGACAUAUAGAUUUUCU